rnacentral:rRNA from 1 species
GACGAACGCUGGCGGCGUGCUUAACACAUGCAAGUCGAACGGAAAGGCCUGCUUUCCCUUGUGGAUUGCGGGUACUCGAGUGGCGAACGGGUGAGUAACACGUGAGUGAUCUGCCCCCAACUUGGGUAUAAGCCUGGGAAACUGGGUCUAAUUCCCGAUAGGACUGCAGGGUGGUGCCUGUGGUGGAAAACGAUUUUCUAGUGGUUGGGGAUGAGCUCGCGGCCUAUCAGCUUGUUGGUGGGGUAAUGGCCUACCAAGGCGGCGACGGGUAGCCAGCCUGAGAGGGUGGACGGCCACAUUGGGACUGAGAUACGGCCCAGACUCCUACGGGAGGCAGCAGUGGGGAAUAUUGCACAAUGGGCGGAAGCCUGAUGCAGCGACGCCGCGUGGGGGAUGACGGCCUUCGGGUUGUAAACUCCUUUCGACCGCGAGGAAGCCACCUGGUUGGAAGGGUGGUGACGGUAGUGGUAGAAGAAGCACCGGCUAACUACGUG